AUGGAUGUGGAGUCCUUCCUGGCGUCGUGCGCGGCAUCAGGCGACGCGGCUUACGGCGCCGCCGAGGCCGUGCUCGAGCGCCUCCAGGACCCCGCCUCCCGAUCCGCGGCCCGCCGUCUCCUCGGCGCCGUCCGCCGCCGCGUAGCCUCGGUCUACGGGAAUGAGGAAUGUCCCCGCGCCUUCAACUUCCGCAUCCGCGACGUCGUCCUCGAACCCCACCUCAAAGGAUCCCAGCAAAGAAAUAUGCUAACAAUGAUGGAGAUGCCUAGCAUUUUCAUUCCUGAAGACCAGUCCUUCACUUUCUACGAGGGUCUCAAUCAGCAUCCAGAUCCUGCUUUCAAGGAUAAGAUAGUCGCAGAGCUGGGAUGUGGCAAUGGUUGGAUAUCCAUCGCGCUUGCAGAAAAGUGGUCUCCGUUGAAGGUCUACGGUCUGGAUAUUAACCCAAGGGUUAUCAAGAUUGCAUGGAUAAAUCUUUACUUGAAUGCACUAGAUGACGAUGGUCUUUCAAUCUAUGAUGGGGAGGGGAAAACAUUACUUGAUAAAGUUGAAUUCCAUGAGUCUGAUCUUCUUGCAUACUGUAGAGACAACAAGAUAGAACUUGAUCACAUUGUUGGAUGCAUACCUCAGAUUCUUAAUCCCAAUCCAGAGGCCAUGUCAAACAUUAUCAUUGAAAAUUCUAGUGAGGAGUUUUUGUAUUCCUUGAGAAACUACUAUGCUCUUCAGGAUUUUGUUGAGGACCAAUUUGGCCUCGGGUUGAUUGCUCGUGCAGUUGAAGAAGGGAUAGCUAUCAUAAAUCCUAUGGGUAUUAUGAUAUUCAACAUGGGAGGCCGACCAGGUCAAGGUGUUUGUGAACGCGUACUUCUACGCCGUGGAUUACGCAUCAAUAAGCUCUGGCAAACAAACAUUAUGCAGGUUUCUGAUGCGGAUAUUUCAGCUUUAGUUGAAAUUGAGAAAAUUUACCCACAUCAUUUUGAGCUCUUCAUGGAUCUUCAUGGGGAUCAACCUGUCUCUGCACGCACUGCCUUGGCAUACAUGAAAUCUGGUGGCCGUGUUUCACAUGCUUUCUCCGUGUAUAGCUGUCAACUUCGCCAACCUAACCAGGUGAAGAAACUAUUUGAGAGUAUUAAAAAUGGACUUCAUGAAGUCGGCAGCUCGCUCGAUUUAUCUUUUGAUGAUGAUUCUGUUGCCGAUGAAAAGAUUCCCUUCCUAGUAUACCUAGCUCAGUUUUUGAAGGAUGAUAGGCUCAAUCCUUGUGAGCCUCCAGCUGGAUGUUUAAACUUUUGGAAUAUUGUCGCUGAAUUUAUGAAGAGCUACCACCACAUCCCAUUAACUCCUGAAAAUGUUGUUGUAUUCCCUUCCUGCGAUGUGGCAAUAGAAAAUUACCUUCGACUGUUCUCACCAUCACUUGCGAUUGUCGAUGAACAUCUGACCAGACACUUGCCCAAGCAAUGGUUGACAUCUUCAGCAAUCGAGGGGAGGGCAGAUUGUAACCGUGCUGAAGACACAGUCACUGUAAUUGAAGCACCAUGCCGGUCAGAUUUGCUGAUUGAAUUGGUCAGGAAGCUGAAGCCUCAGGUUAUUGUUACUGGCAUAGCUCAUUUUGAGGUUGUCACUAGUGCAGCUUUUGUGAACUUACUAAGCGCAACACAAGAUGUUGGUUCUCGCUUAUUGCUAGACAUUUCAGAGCAUCUGGAGCUAUCUAAUUUGCCAAACUCUAAUGGUGUGCUGAAAUAUCUUGCUGGAAACACCCUACCUUCGCAUGCAGCUAUACUGUGUGGUCUAGUAAAAAAUCAGGUUUAUUCUGAUCUGGAAGUUGCUUUUGCUAUUUCCGAGGACGCAGCUGUAUGUAAGGCAUUGUCACAAACUAUUGAGAUAUUGGAAGGACAUACUUCUGUGAUUAGCCAGCACUAUUAUGGAUGUCUUCUCCAUGAGCUGCUGGCGUUUCAAAUUGGAGACCACCAUGCACAACAAGAGAGGCAACCUGCAGAAGUGACACCUCAGAAGAUAAUAGGAUUUUCUAAUUCAGCUCUGACUACCCUAGAAGAAGCUGAAUUUUUUGUUCCCGAGUCAAAGGAUUGUAGUGUCAUUCAUAUGGAUUUAGACCGCAGUUUCUUGUCAGUACCUUCUGCAGUGAGCGCCUCCAUUUUUGAAAGUUUUGUGAGGCAGAACAUCACGGAUUCUGAAGCUGAUGUCCGUUCUAGCAUUGAAAAGCUGGUGGGAAAUAACUAUGGUUUACCAGGAGACGAUUGUCCUGAUAUUGCAGAGUCCGCCUACCGUAAGGAAAUUGUAUAUGGCAGCAGCUGUCUCGCACUUUUUAACAAGCUUAUCAUUUGCUGUGUGCAAGAACAAGGCACCUUCUUUUUCCCCAUGGGCACAAAUGGACACUAUGUGGCAGCAGCGAAGUUUAUGAACGCAAAAACCUUGACAAUUCCAACAAAUGUAGAGUCAGGCUUCAAGAUUGAACCGAUAGCUCUAGAUGCAGCUCUAGAGGAUGCCAUUGAGAACAAUAAUGUAUUCCGUCCAUGGGUGUAUAUUUCUGGCCCUACAAUCAACCCUUCUGGUUUCCUUUAUAGUGACAACGAGAUAAAAGAUCUGGUCUCUGUUUGUGCUCAUCGUUCAGCUCGGGUCGUAAUAGAUACCUCCUUUUCCGGUCUUGAGUUUCAAACUGAUGGCUGGAGUCGGUGGAAUUUGAGUACAUUAUCUUAUGACAUUUGCUUAUGUUCCACACUAACUUAUUUCAUGCUUGGAGAGCUGUCUCUUCAGCUGACAGCGUCUGGCCUUGAUUUUGGGUUUCUGAUUUGUAGUAAGCCACCCAAUGUGGAACUUAGUUUCGGAAGCUUGAGUCAGCCACAUAAGACACUGAAGUAUGCUUUUAGAAAACUGUUGGGUCUUAAAAACGAGUGCGAUGAACACUUCUCUAGUCCCUUCUAUAGUCUCAUCAUGGAGCAACAGGACAAAGGUCAGGAAUGGUUCGAACAAGUUCAAAAAGCUGAUAAGGGGAAACUCUCUAAUAUCAUCAUGGAGCAAAGGGAGAAACUCAAGAAACGUGCCAACAAGUUAAGGAAGACACUUGAGAGCUGUGGGUGGGAUGUUGUCGGCGGCGAUGGAGGUAUCUCGAUGCUGGCGAAACCGACGGCCUACAUUAGCAGAUCAUUCAAGAUAGACGGUUUUGAAGGCAAACUCGACGGCUGCAACAUUAGGGAAGCCGUUCUUAGAUCCACUGGUCUUUGCAUAAGCAGUAGCAAAUGGACCGGGAUACCAGACUACUGCCGGUUCAGCUUUGCUCUGGAGACCAGUGAAUUCGAGCGGGCAAUGGACUGCAUAAUCCGGUUCAGAGAGUUGGUUCUGGGAGAGGAACAAGGCUCGAUCUGA
rnacentral:rRNA from 1 species